rnacentral:lncRNA from 1 species
UCAAAAUAAAACAAAAUGAAUUAAACUUGUGAAAUAACAAUAAUCCUCCUCCCUUUGGCACAGAAUCCUUCAGGAUCCAUGGAGGAUAACCAUUUUUCCAAACCAAUUAUAACAAAGAUAGUGAGGACACUACAAGCAAAGAUCUAACCUUUUGAGAAAGAUUAACUAUACAUGACAACCAUAUUUCCAUCAUAACAAAGAUAGUGAUGAGGUUACAAGAAUAGAUCUAACCUUUUGAGAAAGAUUAACUAUGCAUGAUGACUAUAUUUUCAAACAAAAUCAUAAUAUUAAUAGUAAAAAAUCAUGAAAUCAGAUCUAAUCCUUUGAACACUUUACUGUCUUGGAUCUCGGAUCACAGGAAUCUCAACAUCCCUACAGAACUUACUGCCAAAUCCCAUGGCCUUACUGCUGGACCGGAGGUUGGCAAUUAUAGGUCCAUGUCCAUCAAACAGAUCCAAAGUCAUAAAUCAAUACUAUCAAUACUAUAAUAGGUUUAAAUACAUUAGAUAGUAAUCACGAAGUUAACCAGUCUCAUCAGACAGAUCUAAACUUGUAGAUCUAUACUAGCAACACCAUAAAUAAAGAAAGAUGAUAAUCACGAAAUUAAGCAAUCUCAUUAGACAGAUCUAAACUUAUAGAUCUACACUAACAAUAUCAUAAUAAGUAAAAAAAGAUAGCCAUCACCCUACAUUCUAAUAUUUUCAGGAUAAAACCCAAUAUCCUUCAACAUUCAGACAAUACAGAGGACGUCUAUGGAUGGAGCAUAGAUGGAAUAUUCAAAUACAAUUUUCUUAUGGCAUCUCAACAGAUGAUGACCACAGUUAUGUUUAAUCAAACAUCACAUGACUGCAAUCAGUUAGUUGCUUAUAUCCUAUUCAUAGGAUUUAUUUGGCAAUUUCAAAAAUGGUGGGAAGAACGUGCCAUCAUAGAAGACAAAAACAACAUUUUCAAGGAUGAAUAUGAUCUACAAGAUAGGACAUCCUCCCAGAAAUAAUGGAAUUCAAUAUUAUAUUUACCCUGGACAUAUUCACAUCUGAUGAUGACUCAGGAUUAGCCUAAGAGGAUUCAUCAAAAUUAUUCCCAAACUCCAGUAGAUUUCAAUAUAUAUUCCUGGCAAAGUCAGGCAAAAACAAGGUUCAUGAGGUAAACUUCCUCAAAGGCUUUCUCAGACCUCAAUACAAGAAGAUUAACCUUUGGAAAGAAACAACUUAUGAAUAGGACCAACAAGCAGGAUGGCUUCCCAAAAGACCUACAGGAAAUCAAGCCCAAGAAAGAAAUUUUGGACCCCUUUACAAACAGUUUGGCCUAUCUAGCUACCAUACAAAGCCCAAUAAACAGCCCAAACUUAUAAACCCUUUCUCCCCUAUCAAACAACCAACCUUAUCCUUUUUAAAAAACCAUGAACCUAGACAUAUAACCCAACCUUACAAAUUCAACCAAAAUCAAUAUUUUUGAAGCCCAACUAUCAAAUCCUUUGAUCGAAUCAGAUGCUGAUAAAUCUGGACGAAAAGAAGAUUACGACAGUUAUAUUUCAACAUUUUCUUCCUCAAUCACCAGUGAUGAAGGUGCAAAAGAAGGACCUAUGGUCAAAAAUCAAAACCUUCUUCUCAACAUCAUUGAAGAAAUGAGACAACCUUACCUGGACCAAACAUCGAAUCCUUUAACCAAAACCCUUCUCUUUGAUAUUCCAGAAAAAGAUAGCUUCAAAAUCCCUAAACAAAACCUUUGCAAAUCAAAACUCUAGGAUUUUUUAGAAAUUCUUGACAAAUUUCCUAUUCGAAAUCCUCAAAAAGAAACGACCAACCUUGUGAGCUUGAAUUCUUAGUUACUUCAAGAAUAUUGGGUCCAAAUACGAUUACUAAUUGUUGGCAAUUAUGUAAUCGAAACUAAAGCCCUAUUUGAUACAGGGCUAGAUUACUGCUAUAUUCCUGAAAACCUCAUUCCAAUCCAAAUUUUAGAACUCUUAGAAAAACCAACAAUCCCAAGUUCAAUAUCGAAUUCAAAUUUCCAAAUAUACAAAACCAAUUCUUAGUUACCUUUUUUUUAACUAAGUAUCUGACUAACCAUAUCAUUCUAGGAGCAUUCUUUCUCAACCAAUCAGUUCCUUUCCAAAUCACUUGUAAAGGGAUAAUAUCCCAACCUUUUAAUUCUAUAUUCUUUAAACUAACUAAUUCUUUGUGUAGAAGCAUAGCAGAAGAAGGAAACUCAUCGUCAUACAAUCCAGAGAAGAAACAAGCAAACAGCUAACUCUUCGACGGAUACUCUAAUUGGGUACAAACUUUUUUUGAAGAAAUAUCCAGCAACCAAACUAAUGAAGAACAAACAUCAUCAAACUGGAAUCAAGCCAGUGGAAGCCAAACAUCAAAUUGGAUUUGGAUCCUUGAUGAAUCAUCCUCAAAUUGGAUAUCUUCAUCUUCAAAUUGGAUACUUGCAGAAACAACUUCAAGUUGGAUACCUGAUGAAACAGUCUCAAACCAAUUCCAAGCAAUUGAUUAGACUUCAACAAUAAAUUGGAUUCAGGAAACUGAAUAGGAUGAAAAUUCGUUUCUAAUUCCUGAAGAUCCUACUACUCAAUCCUUCCAGAUCAAACUCAGAUAUAAUACUUUCUCACGUCUCUGGAUGGAAUAUCAUUACAUCUAAAAUGAGAGAAAAGAAUCCAGGAUUAGAAACUUUAAUAUUAUAUACCUUAACAAGGAUACUGGUGAAAGAAUCCCUUGCUAUACAACACACAGAUUCAAUCAUGUUGGAGCAGCAAACUCAAACUACUCGGUACAAACAUUAAAAGAACAAUGCUUCAUGCAGAGAAGAAACAUCCAAAGAAUGGUUCUCAACAAAGGAUUUGACAGUAAUCUUCUUUUCGUCCAGAUUUAUCAGCAUCUGAUUCGAUUAGAGGAUUUGACAGUUAGGCUUCUAAAAUAUUGACUUUUUAGUUGAAUUUGUAAGGUUGAGUUACAUGUCUAGAUUCAUGGUUUCUGAAAAAGGAUAAGGUUGGUUGUUUGAUAGGGGAGACAGGGUUUGUAAGUUUGGGCUGUUUAUUGGGCUUUGUAUGGUUGCUAGAUAGCCCAAACUGUUUGUAAAGAGGUCCAAAAUUUCUU